UGGGGAAUAUUGGGCAAUGGGCGAAAGCCUGACCCAGCAACGCCGCGUGAGGGAAGAAGGGUUUCGGCUCGUAAACCUCUGUCCUAUGGGACGAAGAAGAUGACGGUACCAUAGGAGGAAGCCCCGGCUAACUACGUGCCAGCAGCCGCGGUAAUACGUAGGGGGCGAGCGUUGUCCGGAAUGAUUGGGCGUAAAGGGCGCGUAGGCGGCCCGUUAAGUCUGGAGUGAAAGUCCUGCUUUCAAGGUGGGAAUUGCUUUGGAUACUGAUGGGCUGGAGUGCAGGAGAGGAAAGCGGAAUUACCGGUGUAGCGGUGAAAUGCGUAGAGAUCGGUAGGAACACCAGUGGCGAAGGCGGCUUUCUGGACUGAAACUGACGCUGAGGCGCGAAAGCGUGGGGAGCAAACAGGAUUGAUACC
rnacentral:rRNA from 1 species